UACGGAGGGAGCUAGCGUUGUUCGGAAUUACUGGGCGUAAAGCGCACGUAGGCGGCUUUGUAAGUUAGAGGUGAAAGCCUGGAGCUCAACUCCAGAAUUGCCUUUAAGACUGCAUCGCUUGAAUCAUGGAGAGGCGGGUGGAAUUCCGAGUGUAGAGGUGAAAUUCGUAGAUAUCAGGAGGAACACCGAUGGCGAAAGGCAG
rnacentral:rRNA from 1 species